CGCGUAGGCGGUCUGUUAAGUUCGGUGUGAAAGCCCCGGCCUCACCUGGGGGACGUGCGCCGGAACCGACAGACUCGAGUACCGGAGAGGAGGGUGGAAUUCCUGGUGUAGCGGUGAAAUGCGUAGAUAUGUGGAGGAACACCAGUGGCGAAGGCGAUUUUCUAGCUUAGACCUGACGCUGAGGCGCGAAAGCAAGGGGAGCAAACA
rnacentral:rRNA from 1 species